rnacentral:rRNA from 1 species
GACGAACGCUGGCGGCGUGCUUAACACAUGCAAGUCGAACGGUGAUGCUCCAGCUUGCUGGAGUGGAUCAGUGGCGAACGGGUGAGUAACACGUGAGCAACCUGCCCCAGACUCUGGAAUAAGCGCUGGAAACGGCGUCUAAUACUGGAUACGAAACUGGCCCGCAUGGGCAUGGUUUGGAAAGUUUUUCGGUUUGGGAUGGGCUCGCGGCCUAUCAGCUUGUUGGUGAGGUAAUGGCUCACCAAGGCGACGACGGGUAGCCGGCCUGAGAGGGCGACCGGCCACACUGGGACUGAGACACGGCCCAGACUCCUACGGGAGGCAGCAGUGGGGAAUAUUGCACAAUGGGCGAAAGCCUGAUGCAGCGACGCCGCGUGAGGGAUGACGGCCUUCGGGUGGUAAACCUCUUUCAGCAGGGAAGAAGCGAAAGUGACGGUACCUGCAGAAGAAGCACCGGCUAACUACGU